GCCUGGGUGGCUCAGCUGGUUAAGUGUCUGACUUCAGCUCAGAUCAUGAUCUUACGGUUUGUGAGUUUGAGCCCCGCAUCAGGCU
rnacentral:tRNA from 1 species